CUACGGGGGGCUCCAGUGGGGAAUAUUGCACAAUGGGCGCAAGCCUGAUGCAGCCAUGCCGCGUGUAUGAAGAAGGCCUUCGGGUUGUAAAGUACUUUCAGCGGGGAGGAAGGGAGUAAAGUUAAUACCUUUGCUCAUUGACGUUACCCGCAGAAGAAGCACCGGCUAACUCCGUGCCAGCAGCCGCGGUAAUACGGAGGGUGCAAGCGUUAAUCGGAAUUACUGGGCGUAAAGCGCACGCAGGCGGUUUGUUAAGUCAGAUGUGAAAUCCCCGGGCUCAACCUGGGAACUGCAUCUGAUACUGGCAAGCUUGAGUCUCGUAGAGGGGGGUAGAAUUCCAGGUGUAGCGGUGAAAUGCGUAGAGAUCUGGAGGAAUACCGGUGGCGAAGGUGGCCCCCUGGACGAAGACUGACGCUCAGGUGCGAAAGCGUGGGGAGCAAACAGGAUUAGAUACCCUAGUAGUC
rnacentral:rRNA from 1 species